GAUGAAGAACGUAGCGAAAUGCGAUAAGUAAUGUGAAUUGCAGAAUUCAGUGAAUCAUCGAAUCUUUGAACGCACAUUGCGCCCGCCAGUAUUCUGGCGGGCAUGCCUGUUCGAGCGUCAUUUCAACCAUCAAGCCCCAGGCUUGUGUUGGGGACCUGCGGCUGCCGCAGGCCCUGAAAACCAGUGGCGGGCUCGCUGUCACACCGGGCGUAGUAGAUUUUAUCUCGUUCUGGGCGUGCUGCGGGUUCCGGCCGUUAAAAAACCCUUUUAACCCAAGGUUGACCUCGGAUCAGGUAGGAAUACCCGCUGAACUUAAGCAUAUCAAUAAGCGGAGGA
rnacentral:misc_RNA from 1 species